ensembl:snoRNA
UUGCAUCCACUGAUAGACCUGAAGCAUGCAUCUUUGGCUUCUGGGUUUGCAUAGAGAUGCUAAACUAAAGUUUUCCUCGCGCUUUCUGACUGCUGAAUUCUAUAGCAAGACAGAUUGAAUUGAGGAAUACAUGC